rnacentral:tRNA from 1 species
GGGGGUGUGGCGGAACUGGCAGACGCGGGGGGCUUAAAACCCCCUGCCCGUUCUCGGGCGUGCGGGUUCGACUCCCGCCACCCCCA